UUACACNUGCAAGUCGAACGGCAGCGGGGAAAGCUUGCUUUCCUGCCGGCGAGUGGCGAACGGGUGAGUAAUACAUCGGAACGUGCCCUGUAGUGGGGAUAACUAGUCGAAAGAUUAGCUAAUACCGCAUACGACUGAGGGUGAAAGUGGGGGACCGCAAGGCCUCAUGCUAUAGGAGCGGCCGAUGUCUGAUUAGCUAGUUGGUGGGGUAAAGGCCCACCAAGGCGACGAUCAGUAGCUGGUCUGAGAGGACGAUCAGCCACACUGGGACUGAGACACGGCCCAGACUCCUACGGGAGGCAGCAGUGGGGAAUUUUGGACAAUGGGCGAAAGCCUGAUCCAGCAAUGCCGCGUGUGUGAAGAAGGCCUUCGGGUUGUAAAGCACUUUUGUCCGGAAAGAAAUGGCUCUGGUUAAUACCUGGGGUCGAUGACGGUACCGGAAGAAUAAGGACCGGCUAACUACGUGCCAGCAGCCGCGGUAAUACGUAGGGUCCAAGCGUUAAUCGGAAUUACUGGGCGUAAAGCGUGCGCAGGCGGUUGUGCAAGACCGAUGUGAAAUCCCCGAGCUUAACUUGGGAAUUGCAUUGGUGACUGCACGGCUAGAGUGUGUCAGAGGGGGGUAGAAUUCCACGUGUAGCAGUGAAAUGCGUAGAGAUGUGGAGGAAUACCGAUGGCGAAGGCAGCCCCCUGGGAUAACACUGACGCUCAUGCACGAAAGCGUGGGGAGCAAACAGGAUUAGAUACCCUGGUAGUCCACGCCCUAAACGAUGUCAACUAGUUGUUGGGGAUUCAUUUCCUUAGUAACGUAGCUAACGCGUGAAGUUGACCGCCUGGGGAGUACGGUCGCAAGAUUAAAACUCAAAGGAAUUGACGGGGACCCGCACAAGCGGUGGAUGAUGUGGAUUAAUUCGAUGCAACGCGAAAAACCUUACCUACCCUUGACAUGCCACUAACGAAGCAGAGAUGCAUUAGGUGCUCGAAAGAGAAAGUGGACACAGGU
rnacentral:rRNA from 1 species